rnacentral:rRNA from 1 species
UUAAGCGACUAAGCGUACACGGUGGAUGCCCUGGCAGUCAGAGGCGAUGAAGGACGUGCUAAUCUGCGAUAAGCGUCGGUAAGGUGAUAUGAACCGUUAUAACCGGCGAUUUCCGAAUGGGGAAACCCAGUGUGAUUCGUCACACUAUCAUUAACUGAAUCCAUAGGUUAAUGAGGCGAACCGGGGGAACUGAAACAUCUAAGUACCCCGAGGAAAAGAAAUCAACCGAGAUUCCCCCAGUAGCGGCGAGCGAACGGGGAGGAGCCCAGAGCCUGAAUCAGUGUGUGUGUUAGUGGAAGCGUCUGGAAAGGCGCGCGAUACAGGGUGACAGCCCCGUACACAAAAAUGCACAUAUUGUGAGCUCGAUGAGUAGGGCGGGACACGUGGUAUCCUGUCUGAAUAUGGGGGGACCAUCCUCCAAGGCUAAAUACUCCUGACUGACCGAUAGUGAACCAGUACCGUGAGGGAAAGGCGAAAAGAACCCCGGCGAGGGGAGUGAAAAAGAACCUGAAACCGUGUACGUACAAGCAGUGGGAGCACGCUUAGGCGUGUGACUGCGUACCUUUUGUAUAAUGGGUCAGCGACUUAUAUUCUGUAGCAAGGUUAACCGAAUAGGGGAGCCGAAGGGAAACCGAGUCUUAACUGGGCGUUAAGUUGCAGGGUAUAGACCCGAAACCCGGUGAUCUAGCCAUGGGCAGGUUGAAGGUUGGGUAACACUAACUGGAGGACCGAACCGACUAAUGUUGAAAAAUUAGCGGAUGACUUGUGGCUGGGGGUGAAAGGCCAAUCAAACCGGGAGAUAGCUGGUUCUCCCCGAAAGCUAUUUAGGUAGCGCCUCGUGAAUUCAUCUCCGGGGGUAGAGCACUGUUUCGGCAAGGGGGUCAUCCCGACUUACCAACCCGAUGCAAACUGCGAAUACCGGAGAAUGUUAUCACGGGAGACACACGGCGGGUGCUAACGUCCGUCGUGAAGAGGGAAACAACCCAGACCGCCAGCUAAGGUCCCAAAGUCAUGGUUAAGUGGGAAACGAUGUGGGAAGGCCCAGACAGCCAGGAUGUUGGCUUAGAAGCAGCCAUCAUUUAAAGAAAGCGUAAUAGCUCACUGGUCGAGUCGGCCUGCGCGGAAGAUGUAACGGGGCUAAACCAUGCACCGAAGCUGCGGCAGCGACACUAUGUGUUGUUGGGUAGGGGAGCGUUCUGUAAGCCUGUGAAGGUGUGCUGUGAGGCAUGCUGGAGGUAUCAGAAGUGCGAAUGCUGACAUAAGUAACGAUAAAGCGGGUGAAAAGCCCGCUCGCCGGAAGACCAAGGGUUCCUGUCCAACGUUAAUCGGGGCAGGGUGAGUCGACCCCUAAGGCGAGGCCGAAAGGCGUAGUCGAUGGGAAACAGGUUAAUAUUCCUGUACUUGGUGUUACUGCGAAGGGGGGACGGAGAAGGCUAUGUUGGCCGGGCGACGGUUGUCCCGGUUUAAGCGUGUAGGCUGGUUUUCCAGGCAAAUCCGGAAAAUCAAGGCUGAGGCGUGAUGACGAGGCACUACGGUGCUGAAGCAACAAAUGCCCUGCUUCCAGGAAAAGCCUCUAAGCAUCAGGUAACAUCAAAUCGUACCCCAAACCGACACAGGUGGUCAGGUAGAGAAUACCAAGGCGCUUGAGAGAACUCGGGUGAAGGAACUAGGCAAAAUGGUGCCGUAACUUCGGGAGAAGGCACGCUGAUAUGUAGGUGAAGUCCCUUGCGGAUGGAGCUGAAAUCAGUCGAAGAUACCAGCUGGCUGCAACUGUUUAUUAAAAACACAGCACUGUGCAAACACGAAAGUGGACGUAUACGGUGUGACGCCUGCCCGGUGCCGGAAGGUUAAUUGAUGGGGUCAGCGCAAGCGAAGCUCUUGAUCGAAGCCCCGGUAAACGGCGGCCGUAACUAUAACGGUCCUAAGGUAGCGAAAUUCCUUGUCGGGUAAGUUCCGACCUGCACGAAUGGCGUAAUGAUGGCCAGGCUGUCUCCACCCGAGACUCAGUGAAAUUGAACUCGCUGUGAAGAUGCAGUGUACCCGCGGCAAGACGGAAAGACCCCGUGAACCUUUACUAUAGCUUGACACUGAACAUUGAGCCUUGAUGUGUAGGAUAGGUGGGAGGCUUUGAAGUGUGGACGCCAGUCUGCAUGGAGCCGACCUUGAAAUACCACCCUUUAAUGUUUGAUGUUCUAACGUUGACCCGUGAUCCGGGUUGCGGACAGUGUCUGGUGGGUAGUUUGACUGGGGCGGUCUCCUCCUAAAGAGUAACGGAGGAGCACGAAGGUUGGCUAAUCCUGGUCGGACAUCAGGAGGUUAGUGCAAUGGCAUAAGCCAGCUUGACUGCGAGCGUGACGGCGCGAGCAGGUGCGAAAGCAGGUCAUAGUGAUCCGGUGGUUCUGAAUGGAAGGGCCAUCGCUCAACGGAUAAAAGGUACUCCGGGGAUAACAGGCUGAUACCGCCCAAGAGUUCAUAUCGACGGCGGUGUUUGGCACCUCGAUGUCGGCUCAUCACAUCCUGGGGCUGAAGUAGGUCCCAAGGGUAUGGCUGUUCGCCAUUUAAAGUGGUACGCGAGCUGGGUUUAGAACGUCGUGAGACAGUUCGGUCCCUAUCUGCCGUGGGCGCUGGAGAACUGAGGGGGGCUGCUCCUAGUACGAGAGGACCGGAGUGGACGCAUCACUGGUGUUCGGGUUGUCAUGCCAAUGGCACUGCCCGGUAGCUAAAUGCGGAAGAGAUAAGUGCUGAAAGCAUCUAAGCACGAAACUUGCCCCGAGAUGAGUUCUCCCUGACUCCUUGAGAGUCCUGAAGGAACGUUGAAGACGACGACGUUGAUAGGCCGGGUGUGUAAGCGCAGCGAUGCGUUGAGCUAACCGGUACUAAUGAACCGUGAGGCUUAACCUU